rnacentral:lncRNA from 1 species
UACAAAAGGCCUAUCUAGAGAAGGAGUGGAAAGAGCAUCCAAGGGAAUGGGUUUAAGGCCUAGGACAAGUCAGCAUGGCGGUAACUCUAUCUAGCAGACUGGAGAUCCCAAGAGCUAGGUUCAAGGAGAUCAAACAAAGUUGUGUCUGACAGGUUCAACAUUGUCAAUUACCCAACCCAUUCUCAUGAUGUAGACAAUGUAUAGUAAACAAGGAUAAGACUUAAGGUGAAAAGUCUUUUAAUGAUUAUCUAAAUUUGGCAGAUUUGACCAAAUAGUUUAAUCUACAGGAUUGAACGUUUAGAAAUCACCUAUGUGUGGGCGAAGUGGAAGCCGCUUCAAAGAGAAUGUUAGUAAAGGUCUAUUCUCUAAGCUCUCAUGAAAAUCGGGACGUGUUCAUGGCUGAAAAGAACAAAACCGUAAGAACCAUAAAUGGUAAAAGGCUGGUUAUGUGACAUGUGUUGUC